rnacentral:rRNA from 1 species
CUACGGGGGGCAGCAGUGGGGAAUAUUGGACAAUGGGGGAAACCCUGAUCCAGCAAUGCCGCGUGUGUGAAGGAGGCCUGCGGGUUGUAAAGCACUUUCGGUUGGGAGGACUGCUUCUAGCACUAAUAUUGUUGGAAGUUGACGUUACCUUCAGAAGAAGCACCGGCUAACUCCGUGCCAGCAGCCGCGGUAAUACGGAGGGUGCACGCGUUAAUCGGAAUUACUGGGCGUAAAGCGCGCGUAGGCGGCUAGAUCAGUCGGGUGUGAAAGCCCCGGGCUUAACCUGGGAACUGCAUCCGAUACUGUCUAGCUUGAGUACAGGAGAGGAGAGUGGAAUUCCACAUGUAGCGGUGAUAUGCGUAGAUAUGUGGAGGAACACCAAUGGCGAAGGCAGCUCUCUGGCCUGAUACUGACGCUGAGGUGCGAAAGCGUGGGGAGCAAACAGGAUUAGAUACCCCCGUAGUC